UGGGGAAUAUUGCACAAUGGGGGAAACCCUGAUGCAGCGACGCCGCGUGAGCGAUGAAGGCUUUCGAGUCGUAAAGCUCUGUCCUAUGGGAAGAUAAUGACGGUACCAUAGAAGAAAGCCCCGGCUAAUUACGUGCCAGCAGCCGCGGUAAUACGUAAGGGGCGAGCGUUGUCCGGAAUUAUUGGGCGUAAAGAGUGCGUAGGCGGCAAAUUAAGUCAGAUGUGAAAACUAAGGGCUCAACCCAUAGAUUGCAUCUGAAACUGAUAUGCUUGAGUCAAGGAGAGGAAAGUGGAAUUCCUAGUGUAGCGGUGGAAUGCGUAGAUAUUAGGAGGAAUACCGGUGGCGAAGGCGACUUUCUGGACUUGAACUGACGCUGAGGCGCGAAAGCCAGGGGAGCGAACGGG
rnacentral:rRNA from 1 species